CUAAACGAUCUUAGAGAGACAGUAGAGGACACUGCUAGACUAUUUGAAUUCAGUUUUCUGCUGAGAUUUCGGGACUCAAGCUAGUAUGGACCAUGGACAUUCUGAUGGUAAGCAAGGCUGUUGCUGCAAUGCAACCACACCAAUACCUUCAGUUCAUCAGACGCUAGAUGAGAUGGAAUUUGAACGAGGUAUUUGGUCAGCAGCUAUGAAUGGUGAUCUGCUUAAAGUCAAGUCCUUAGUGGCAAAGGGAACUGACCCAGGAAGUAAGGACACAAGUGGGUACACAGCAUUGCAUUAUGCAGCUAGGAAUGGACACUUAGAAAUUUGUACUUUUCUUCUGGAGAAUGGAGCAUGUGCUAAUGUCCAGACCCUUGGUGGUGCCACACCUUUACAAAGAGCUGCUUUGAAAGGCCAUGUAGAUAUUGUUAAGAUACUUUUACAUUUCAAUGGAAAUCCAUCAAUUUGUGACAGUGAUGGAAAGACAGCCUUACAUAAAGCAGCAGAAGGAGGACACUUGGAUGUUGUUAAGAUCCUUAUAGAUACAGACAGAAACCUGUGUUCAGUGAAUGAUAACCACUUCAGAAUACCAGCUGAUUGUGUAUCAGAAAAACACCCAGAGAUUGUAAACCUUCUGAGGCAAAGCUGUUGAGAGUAUUAUGGAUUAUCGAGCCGAACAGAACCCCGAUACAAUGUAUGCUGUUGAUUAGUAGUUCAACAUUACAGUCUUUUAUAUCUACCUCUGAUCUGGCGUUUAGUCCACGUGUUGUAUUGUCGUUUAAAAAAUACACGCAGUUCUGUGAAAGGUCCAACUUGUAAGUGGGGAUCCAGAUUUCGAAGAUAGGUAGUUAUUACUUUAUAUAUAUGGUUAAUGGAAUAAAAUGUUUAACUAAA
rnacentral:misc_RNA from 1 species